rnacentral:rRNA from 1 species
GACGAAGGAUGCAAGCGUUAUCCGGAUUCAUUGGGUUUAAAGGGAGCGUAGGUGGCCUUAUAAGUCAGUGGUGAAAUCUCUGGGCUUAACCCAGAAAUUGCCAUUGAUACUGUAGGGCUUGAGUAUAGAUGCCGUUGGCGGAAUAUGACAUGUAGUGGUGAAAUACAUAGAGAUGUCAUAGAACACCGAUUGCGAAGGCAGCUAACGAAACUAUAACUGACACUGAGGCUCGAAAGUGUGGGGAUCAAACAGGAUUAGAAACCCCCGUAGUCC